rnacentral:rRNA from 1 species
GAUGAACGCUGGCGGCGUGCCUAAUACAUGCAAGUCGAGCGAACAGACGAGGAGCUUGCUCCUCUGACGUUAGCGGCGGACGGGUGAGUAAAACGUGGAUAACCUACCUAUAAGACUGGGAUAACUUCGGGAAACCGGAGCUAAUACCGGAUAAUAUAUUGAACCGCAUGGUUCAAUAGUGAAAGACGGUUUUGCUGUCACUUAUAGAUGGAUCCGCGCCGCAUUAGCUAGUUGGUAAGGUAACGGCUUACCAAGGCAACGAUGCGUAGCCGACCUGAGAGGGUGAUCGGCCACACUGGAACUGAGACACGGUCCAGACUCCUACGGGAGGCAGCAGUAGGGAAUCUUCCGCAAUGGGCGAAAGCCUGACGGAGCAACGCCGCGUGAGUGAUGAAGGUCUUCGGAUCGUAAAACUCUGUUAUUAGGGAAGAACAAUUGUGUAAGUAACUAUGCACGUCUUGACGGUACCUAAUCAGAAAGCCACGGCUAACUACGUG